ensembl:lncRNA
AUGUGUGUUUUACAGAGUGAAGUCGAAAGGCCGAGUUCCCCGCCCAUGUCAAGGGCACAUGCAGCUCCAGAGCCAGAAUGCCUGUCUUCUAGAGCUGCUGCUGAACUGCCACUCCACAAGCCAAUUGCCAUCAUGCCCCAAGAUAGCCAGCGGUUAGUGCAAGCCAGCCAAACUCUACUGCCAUCCGAACUGGGGUGCAUUCUAUUAAUUCAAGAAGUCAAAGAUAGCAGUGUGUGCGUAGCCUCAAGUACCUCGGGCAACGUUGAUGCCAAAACGGCCUUGGAUACUAUCUUCGAACCAAUCCUAUCUCAUGAGAGAGCUACAUGUGACCCUGACCCAGUGGUUGCAACUGAAGUGCCUUCCCAGCCAACCCUGACCAGUAGCAGUUUUCCACCUUCAACUUUAGAUGUUGCCAGGGAGGAGAAAACAUUUUUAGAAGAUGUACGCAAAGAGCAAGGGAUGGAUCCUAAAGAAACUCAAAAGAUGACGGAUGAGUCCCAAAUGCAGGUCACAAAAAGCACAUUAGCAGUGAGAAGUGAUAACCAAUUGUUGGGUUUUGGUGCAGAAACAAGUAUGUCAGACGUUCUAGAUGCAAAAGAAAAAUAUGAUGUAAGAGGAGUCGAAGACCACAGUCUUAAAGCAGGACUGGAAACCAACUCUGAGGAUAAAACAGAGGUACUGCUUACCACUGAGAAGAUCCAUGUGCCAUGGUUAAUGCCCAUCCAAGACACCAUCCCUUUGGGAUCUGCAGUAGAAUCCAGAACAGCCCAGAAUCUACCCAUCCUUGGUCCCACCUUUGAAAUCCCAGUGCUGCAGAGAUGUUUUAAUCCAAAUUUGGUUUCUGAAUCACAUAAACUAAAUGAACAUUUACCCGAGGGUGCUUCCGCCUCCUCCAAUUGCCCAGAUGUUGACAGGGCUGAGAGUUCAUUUUCAGAAGACAAGACCAGAGAACAAUGGAUGGAUCCUAAUGAACCUCAAGAGAUGACACAAGAAACAGAAAAUACAACCACAGUGAGGUAUGAUAACACCUUCUUGGGUUUCAAUGUGGGAUCAAGUUUGUCAGAUGUUCUGGAUGAAACACAGAAAUUAGAUGUAAGUGGAGUCAAAGACCCCUGUCUUACAGCAGGACAGGAAAUCGACUCUGAGAAUCAAACAGAUGGCCAAACCAUCCGUUUGGUGCCCACGCUGGUCACCAUCUCUGUGGGAUCAACAACAGAAGCCAGAAUGACCCAGAAUCUGACCGUCCUUGGUCCCUCCUUUGAAACCCCAGUGCUUCAGACCCAUUUUAGUCAAGAUCUACUUUCUGGUGACAUGCAGAAUGUCACCAGCCUCAUAAAAGCUUUAAGUGAAAACAAUGAUGUUGACGAGGAUUUCGAUGUAGAGCAGGGCUCUUGCCACGAGGUUUCCAAACUUGGAUAUGAACUCCCUGCAAAUUCAGAAGGCUCCAAAGAGCAAACGCCCUGUAACCUGAGCCGAGGCCCGGAGAUUCCUGGGAGCCAAUCAGAGGCAAUAGAGCGCAGGCCUUUAAUUCCAACUUUUGCUUUUACAUUGAUCACUGUGUGUUUGGUGGUUGGAUUUCAAGAGCCAAACGCCUUGCUUCUCAUAGGACUGUUCUUAUUCUCACUAUAUUUCUGA